CCUACGGGAGGCAGCAGUGAGGAAUAUUGGUCAAUGGACGAGAGUCUGAACCAGCCAAGUAGCGUGAAGGAUGACUGCCCUAUGGGUUGUAAACUUCUUUUAUAUGGGAAUAAAAUGUUCCACGUGUGGGAUUUUGUAUGUACCAUAUGAAUAAGGAUCGGCUAACUCCGUGCCAGCAGCCGCGGUAAUACGGAGGCUCCGAGCGUUAUCCGGAUUUAUUGGGUUUAAAGGGUGCGUAGGUGGAUGGUUAAGUCAGUUGUGAAAGUGUGCGGCUCAACCGUAAAAUUGCAGUUGAAACUGGCAGUCUUGAGUACAGUAGAGGUGGGCGGAAUUCGUGGUGUAGCGGUGAAAUGCUUAGAUAGCACGAAGAACUCCGAUUGCGAAGGCAGUUCACUGGACUGAAACUGACACUGAGGCUCGAAAGUGUGGGUAUCAAACAGGAUUAGAUACCCGGGUAGUC
rnacentral:rRNA from 1 species